rnacentral:rRNA from 1 species
GACGAACGCUGGCGGCAUGCCUAAUACAUGCAAGUCGAACGAGCUUCCGUUGAAUGACGUGCUUGCACUGAUUUUAACAAUGAAGCGAGUGGCGAACUGGUGAGUAACACGUGGGAAAUCUGCCCAGAAGCAGGGGAUAACACUUGGAAACAGGUGCUAAUACCGUAUAACAACAAAUACCGCCAUGGAGUUUUGUUUUUGGUAAAGGUAGGGCGUUCGGUCGUAUUCACCUUACCUUGG